rnacentral:lncRNA from 13 species
AGCUGUGGGGCCGCUUCAGCUUCACCGUAUGCUCAAAGUGAAUAUCGGACCCAAAAAAGUGUUGCAGAAAGGUGAUUUUAUUUAGGUAGAGAAAAGAGAAGGAAAGGAGAAGAGAAAGGCUUCCACGAAGAGUAUGGAAGGGGAUUCCAGAGGAGAAAAUCCCAGAGGGAGCUCCCACCCCGUGGAAGGGGAUUCCGGGAAGCUAGAAAAUCCGGUGCAGGUGAGGGAGCAUGAACUUUUAUCCUGGGAGAAACCCCUACCUUCUCCAAGACGCUGGGCCAAUGAAAGGAGCUCCUUAGAACUUCCGCUGGAGUGAUUGACUUUUAGUUUCUUCCCGCGCCUGAGAAAUUCAAACAUAAACUGUUGAAUCUCCCGGAUGGAGAGAGAUGGGAGCAGGCAUGGCGCCAGGGAAAUUCUUGCCCUUACAGCUAUCCCCCUUCAUGGACCCAGAAAGAGAACACAUUCCCUCAGAGGGACUCUACAAAGUAGACAAAGUAGACUCUGACGAAGCCCAGAAUGAAUCCCUUCAUUGUCAUUGUAAUAUCUUUGGAAUCCACAGUGAGAUCCUUUAUGUUGUGAGGAAUUGAAACAGUCAAAUUAACAAGAGCGUAUUCAGAGGAAUCAACAAUACAUACUUUGUCAAGUUGCUGCCAGAUUGAAACGCCUUUGCAAAAUUAUGACUGAGACAGUGAAAAAGAUCUAACUUAACCAACUCCAUCUUGCUUCUAACUUCCAAGCUGUCUGUGUUCAUUCCUGGGCAUAAGCUGCUAACUUUGGGAAAAACUUGAUUUGUAGUUUCAAACAAAGAUGAUAACAGCCCUUUCCCAAAGCAGACCUCCUUCUUGUCUAGGGACUAGAUUGCCUUUGUAGGACUAACAAAUUAGCCACAAGAUUAGAAGUUAGGUUUAGGGGUCAUGCAGCUGGAGGCUACAAGAUUCUGACCCUCCCUAAACUGCCCCUAAGAUCAGUACUUGAGAUAUUUUGCAAACCCUGCAUUUGAUGGAUCCGCUUCCACCACCCAGAUUGAUAAACUGGCUCAUCUGAUCUUGUAGCCUCACUGAGGAACUGACUCAGCACAAGAAGACAGCUUUGACUCCCUAUGAUUUCACCUCUAACAAAUCUGCACUCCUGGUUCACUGGCUUCCCCAUACCCUCAAGUUGUCCUUAAAAACUCUGCUCCCCAAAUGCUGAGGGAGACUGAUUUGAGUACUAAUAAAACACUGGUCUCCUGCA